UCGGGAAUUUUGGGCAAUGGGCGAAAGCCUGACCCAGCAACGCCGCGUGAGGGAUGAAGUAUUUCGGUAUGUAAACCUCGAAAGAAUGGGAAGAAUAAAUGACGGUACCAUUUAUAAGCUCCGGCUAACUACGUGCCAGCAGCCGCGGUAAUACGUAGGGAGCAAGCGUUGUUCGGAUUUACUGGGCGUAAAGGGCGCGUAGGCGGCGCGGUAAGUCACUUGUGAAAUCUCUGAGCUUAACCCAGAACGGCCAGGUGAUACUGCUGUGCUAGAGUGCGGAAGAGGCAACCGGAAUUCUUGGUGGAGCGGUGAAAUGCGUAGAUAUCAAGAGGAACACCUGAGGCGAAGGCGGGUUGCUGGGCCGACACUGACGCUGAUGCGCGAAAGCCAGGGGAGCAAAC
rnacentral:rRNA from 1 species